rnacentral:SRP_RNA from 1 species
GCCGGACGCGGUGGCGCGCGCCUGUAGUCCCAGCUACUCGGGAGGCUGAGAUGGGAGGAUCGCUUGAGCCCAGGAGUUCUGGGCUGUAGUGCGCUAUGCCGAUCGGGUGUCCGCACUAAGUUCGGCAUCAAUAUGGUGACUUCCCGGGAGCGGGGGACCACCAGGUUGCCUAAGGAGGGGUGAACCGGCCCAGGUCGGAAACGGAGCAGGUCAAAACUCCCGUGCUGAUCAGUAGUGGGAUCGCGCCUGUGAAUAGCCACUGCACUCCAGCCUGGGCAACAUAGCGAGACCCCGUCUCUU